rnacentral:SRP_RNA from 1 species
CGGGUAUAGUUUUUAAUAUAAUUUAUUAAACAUGACUUAAAAUGUCAGGAUCGCAAGAUAGCAGCAUAAAGUCUAGAUUAUAGGUUAGUAUUAAAUCUAUACCU